rnacentral:rRNA from 1 species
UACGUAGGGUGCGAGCGUUGUCCGGAAUUAUUGGGCGUAAAGAGCUUGUAGGCGGUUUGUCGCGUCUGCUGUGAAAAUCCGGGGCUCAACCCCGGACUUGCAGUGGGUACGGGCAGACUAGAGUGUGGUAGGGGAGACUGGAAUUCCUGGUGUAGCGGUGAAAUGCGUAGAUAUCAGGAGGAACACCUGUGGCGAAGGCGGCAUCCUGGACCAAUUCUGACGCUGAGGAGCGAAAGCCAGGGGAGCAAACGGG